rnacentral:rRNA from 1 species
GAAUAGACUACCCAGGUAGUCCACGCCCUAAACGAUGCGAACUGGAUGUUGGGUACAUUACGGUACUCAGUGUCGAAGCUAACGCGUUAAGUUCGCCGCCUGGGGAGUACGGUCGCAAGACUGAAACUCAAAGGAAUUGACGGGGGCCCGCACAAGCGGUGGAGUACGUGGUUUAAUUCGAUGCAACGCGAAGAACCUUACCUGGCCUUGACAUCUGUCGAAUCCUGCAGAGAUGCGGGAGUGCCGCAAGGAACGACAAGACAGGUGCUGCAUGGCUGUCGUCAGCUCGUGUCGUGAGAUGUUGGGUUAAGUCCCGCAACGAGCGCAACCCUUGUCCCUAGUUGCCAGCACGUAAUGGUGGGAACUCUAGGGGAGACUGCCGGUGACAAACCGGAGGAAGGUGGGGAUGACGUCAAGUCCUCAUGGCCCUUACGGCCAGGGCUACACACGUACUACAAUGGUCGGUACAGAGGGUUGCGAAGCCGCGAGGUGGAGCCAAUCCCAGAAAACCGAUCCCAGUCCGGAUCGGAGUCUGCAACUCG